AGAUAUCAAAUCCAGCCUAUUGGUUUUUACAUUCAAAGGAAAAUGGGAAGCCUGAGCAAUAUGGGAAGACCACAAGCAAGAAGAGAAGUAACACAAACUCCUUUGAUGGCUGUGAGCACAUCCUCUUCAUUGCUUAGAUUCAGAGACUCAACACAUGCAGUAAAUCUAAGAACAUCUGCUGGUGCCUUGGCUCGUCCUGUCAAGGUGUUUGGUGUACACACGUGAUGAUCCAGGUUCAACCUUCAGACCCCUGUAUAAGUGGAAGGAGAGGAUUGAGUCCUGAAAGUUGUCCUGUAACUUCUACACAUGUACCUUGGCACAUUCACACCCACAAACAAAUAUGUUAAAUUAUCUUAAAAUCUGGAGAAAAGAGAGGCAGAAGGCGU
rnacentral:lncRNA from 1 species